AUACGUAGGGAGCGAGCGUUGUCCGGAAUUACUGGGUGUAAAGGGAGCGUAGGCGGGAAGAUAAGUUGAAUGUUAAAUCUAUCGGCUCAACCGAUAGCCGCGUUCAAAACUAUCUUUCUUGAGUGAAGUAGAGGUUGGCGGAACUCCUAGUGUAGCGGUGAAAUGCGUAGAUAUUAGGAGGAACACCAGUGGCGAAGGCGGCCAACUGGGCUUUUACUGACGCUGAGGCUCGAAAGCGUGGGUAGC
rnacentral:rRNA from 1 species